GCCUACGGGGCGCAGCAGUGGGGGAUAUUGCACAAUGGGGGAAACCCUGAUGCAGCGACGCCGCGUGUAGGAAGACGGUCCUCUGGAUUGUAAACUACUGUCCCCAGGGACGAAGAUGACGGUACCUGGGGAGGAAGCUCCGGCUAACUACGUGCCAGCAGCCGCGGUAAUACGUAGGGAGCGAGCGUUGUCCGGAUUUACUGGGUGUAAAGGGAGCGUAGACGGCGGCGCAAGUCCGGAGUGAAAGCCCACGGCCCAACCGUGGGACUGCUCUGGACACUGUGCGGCUUGAGUGCGGGAGGGGG
rnacentral:rRNA from 1 species